rnacentral:rRNA from 1 species
UGCCAGCCGCCGCGGUAAUACGGAGGGUGCGAGCGUUAAUCGGAAUUACUGGGCGUAAAGCGUGCGUAGGCGGCCAAGUCAGUCAGAUGUGAAAGCCCUGGGCUUAACCUGGGAACUGCAUUUGAUACUGCUUGGCUAGAGUUUAGGAGAGGGUAUCGGAAUUUCUGGUGUAGCGGUGAAAUGCGUAGAAAUCAGAAAGAACAUCGGUGGCGAAGGCGGAUACCUGGCCUAAAACUGACGCUGAGGUACGAAAGCGUGGGUAGCGAACGGGAUUAGAUA